UCAUCAGACAACUCUUUGGGUUCUUAUUCCUUCAUUUGUUCUUAGAAAAGUUGUCAAUGCCUUAAUAUUAUAAGUGAACACUUAAAUGUUAUAGCUGAUAGAGACUCUUAACUGAUUCUAAAGUUGUGUUGAAGUCAAGGGUGUUUCUUCCUAAUUUGGAGUCAGCCAAGUUCAGACUCCAGACACAGGGAAAAUGCAGAACAGGACUAUCAGUCUUCUUUGUUCAAAACAGAUGACUCUCACCAACGAAGAGAGAAAAUAUCUAGAACAACAACAACAACAACAACAACAACAACAACAAAAAGUUAUAUGAACUUGUAAAGUAAAUGUCAAAGCUCUCUCUUUUAAA